rnacentral:rRNA from 1 species
GAUGAACGCUGGCGGCGUGCCUAAUACAUGCAAGUCGAGCGAAUGGAUUGAGAGCUUGCUCUUAUGAAGUUAGCGGCGGACGGGUGAGUAACACGUGGGUAACCUGCCCAUAAGACUGGGAUAACUCCGGGAAACCGGGGCUAAUACCGGAUAACAUUUUGAAACGCAUGGUUCGAAAUUGAAAGGCGGCUUCGGCUGUAACUUAUGGAUGGACCCGGGUCGCAUUAGCUAGUUGGUGAGGUAACGGCUCACCAAGGCAACGAUGCGUAGCCGACCUGAGAGGGUGAUCGGCCACACUGGGACUGAGACACGGCCCAGACUCCUACGGGAGGCAGCAGUAGGGAAUCUUCCGCAAUGGACGAAAGUCUGACGGAGCAACGCCGCGUGAGUGAUGAAGGCUUUCGGGUCGUAAAACUCUGUUGUUAGGGAAGAACAAGUGCUAGUUGAAUAAGCUGGCACCUUGACGGUACCUAACCAGAAAGCCACGGCUAACUACGUGCCAGCCGCCGCGGUAA